UACAGAGGUCCCAAGCGUUGUUCGGAUUCACUGGGCGUAAAGGGUGCGUAGGUGGUCAGGUAAGUCUGAUGUGAAAGCUCUGGGCUCAACCCAGAAAUGGCAUUGGAUACUAUCUGGCUCGAGGAAUGGAGGGGGGACUGGAAUACUUGGUGUAGCAGUGAAAUGCGUAGAUAUCAAGUGGAACACCAGUGGCGAAGGCGAGUCCCUGGACAUUUCCUGACACUGAGGCACGAAAGCUAGGGGAGCAAACAGG
rnacentral:rRNA from 1 species